CCCUGUAUUUCUGAUCAAUUUUAUGUUCUUUUAAUGGCCAAUCUUUUUUUACUCUGUUAUUAUCUAUGCAUAGUAAUUUUAAUAACUCUACCUACAUGUACAUAUUACCUCAAUUACCUCGACUAACCUGUGCCCCAGCACAUUGACUCUGAACAGGUACCCCCUGUAUAUAGCCUCACUAUUGUUAUUUUACUGCUUCCCUUUAAUUAUUUGUUACGUUCAUUUCUUAUUCUUAUUUUUUUUCAAGUAUUUUUUUAUUUUAAUUUUUAAUUUUUAAUUACAUAGUUGGUUAGGGCUUGUAAAUAAGCAUUUCACUGUAAGUUCUACACCUGUUGUAUUCGGGGAAUGAGACAUACAAUUUGAUUUGAUAAACAGUACCAGACAAAAGUUUGGAAGCACCUACUCAUUCAAGGGUUUUUCUUUAUUUUUUACUAUUUUCUACAUUGUAGAAUAGUAGUGAAGACAUAAAAACUAUUAAAUAACAAAUAUGGAAUCAUGUUGUAACCAAAAAAGUGUUAAACAAAUCAAAAUAUAUUUUAUAUUUGAGAUUCUUCAAAGUAGCCACUCUUUGCCUUUAUGACAACUUUGCAACCUCUUGGCUUUCUCUCAACCAGCUUCAAGAGGUAGUCACCUGGAAUGUAUUUCAAUUAACAGGUGUGCCUUGUUAAAAGUUCAUAUGUGGAAUUUCUUUCCUUAUUAUUGCGUUUGAGCCAAUCAGUUGUGUUGUGACAAGGUAGGGGUGGUAUACAGAAGAAAUCCCUAUUUGGUUAAAGACAAAUUCCAUAUUAUGGCAAGAAUAGCUCAAAUAAGCAAAGAGAAAUGACAGUCCAUCAUUACUUUAAAAAGGCUAAGAGGCAGUAUUCGGAAGUUCGGAUGACUGACGUGCCCAAAGUAAACUGCCUGUUAUUCAGGCCCAGCUAGGUCAUGUAUAUAAUUGGUAGUAUUGGAUAGGAAACAAUGUGAAGUUUCUAAAACUGUUGAAAUAAUAUCUGUGACUAUAACAGAACUGAUAUGGCAGGCGAAAACCCGAGGAGAAUGCAUCCAGAAUUUUGUUUUUGAGGUCACCCAUUGAAAUGCUUGUCUAUGGGAAAUUCAAAGGAAAUCCUCCCAUAUUGCAGUUCGUAUGGCUUCCACUAAAUGUCAACAGUCUUUAGAAAGUGUUUCAGGCUUGAUUUUUGAAAUAUGAAUUAGUAGUUUUUCAAGGUGGCUCUCAUUUUGACUGGAGUCUUGUGGCGUGCGUGUAUGAGGGCACACACAUCGUUAUUUAUCUCCGGUAUUUUAUCUCUCUUAUUUAUCGUUUAUUUACAUAUUAGGGUACCUGAGGAUUGAUUAGAAAUGUUUGAACAAAGUUUAUUGGUAUCUUUUGUGAUUCCUUUGUAUGCAUGUUGAACUAGUGGAACGGGUGGAUUGCUGAAUCAAACGCGCCAACUAAACUGAGGAAGAUUUUCAAAGAUAAUCGCAGGGUAUGCUUUCGCCGUAAAGCCUUUUUGAAAUCUGACAAAGCAGCUGGAUUAACAAGAAGAUGUUGUCGAGAUGGGGAGCUAGGCUCCCACCAAGCCUUAAGAAGUUUUUAAGACAUGAAGGUCAGUCAAUCAGGAACAUUUCAAGAACUUUGAAAGUUUCUUCAACUGCAGUUGCACAAACCAUCAAGCGCUAGGAUGAAACUGUCUCUCAUGAGGACCGCCACAGGAAAGGGAGACCCAGUGACCUCUGCUGCAGAGGAUAAGUUCAUUAGAGUUAACUGCAUAUCAGAUUGAAGCCCAAAUAAAUGCUUCACAGAGUUCAUGUUACAGAUAAAUCUCAACAUGAACUGUUCAGAUGAGACUGCAUGAAUCAGGCCUUCAUGGUCGAAUUGCUGCAAAGAAACCACUACUUUAGGACACCAAUAAAAAGAAGAGACUUGCUUGGUUCAAGAAACUCAAGCAAUGGACAUUAGACCAGUGGAAAUCUGUCCUUUGUCUGAUUAGUCCACAUUUGAGGUUUUCAGUUCCAACCGCCUUGUCUUUGUGAGAUGCAGAGUAGGUGAACGGAUGAUCUCUGCAUGUGUGGUUCCCACCGUGAAGUAUGGCGGAGGAGGUGUGAUGGUGUGGGGGUGCUUUGCUGGUGACACUGACUGUGAUUGAAUAAGAAUUCAAGGCACACUUAACCAGCAUGGCUACCAUAGCAUUCUGCAGCGAAUCACCAUCCCAUCUGGUUUGCGCUUAUUGGGACUAUCAUUUGUUUUUCAACAGGACAAUGAACAAAAACACACCUCCGGCGUCGACAGAGAUGGUCGCCUUGCUUAGCGUUCUUAGGAAACUAUGCUGUAUUUAGUUUUUUUAAUGUAUAAUUUCUUACACUGUUACCCCAGGAAAUAUUAAGUCUUAUUACAUACAGCCAGGAGGAACUAUUAGAUAUAAGAGCAACGUCCACUUACCAACAUCAUGACCAGGAAUACGACUUUCCCAAAGUGGAUCCUCUGUUUGGUCCACCACCCAGGACAAUGUAUUGGAUCCCAGCAGGCGACACCGCUCCUGAGUACGCCAAUGUCCAGUCUCUUGACAGCAAGGUAGACGAAAUCCGAGCGUGGGUUGCUUUCCAGAGAGACAUCAGAGACUGCAACAUUCUCUGUUUUACGGAAACAUGGCUCACUCGGGAUACAUUAUCAGAUCGGUACAGCCACCUGGUUUCUUCAUGCAUCUCGCCAACAGAAACAAACAUAACUCUGGUAAGAAGAAGGGCGCGGGUGUAUGCCUCAUGAUUAACGAGUCGUGGUGUGACCUUAACAACUGUCACGACUUCCGCCGAAGUUGGCUCCCCUGCCUGUUCGGGCAGUGCUCGGCGGUCGUCGUUGCCGUCCUACUAGCCGCUACCGAUCCCUUUUUCGUUUGUCUGUUUGUUUUGUCUUAUUAGUUUGACCUGUGCGUAUUCUGGUUUAAUUAGCUUCCCUAUAUGUAGUAGUUUGACCCGCCCUUGUUUUGUGCGGGAUUGUCUUAAUGUUACGUGUGUGCAUGUUAGGUAGUGGUGUAUUUUCUUUUCUUUACUUGACACCCUGUGGUUUUUGGGUUGUCUUGUAUAGUGUCCUGCACCCUGUAUUUUGUUGGGCUUAUUAUUUUUGUGUGCAAGAGUAAAGCACUUCAACUCAG